AGCAGGAUGGUGCAGUGGUUUGAGUGUUGGUCUAGAACUCUGGGAGACCAGGGUUCGAAUCCCUGGUCAGCCA